AUUGAACGCUGGCGGCAGGCCUAACACAUGCGAGUCGAGCGGAUGAAGGGAGCUUGCUCCUGGAUUCAGCGGCGGACGGGUGAGUAAUGCCUAGGAAUCUGCCUGGUAGUGGGGGAUAACGUCCGGAAACGGGCGCUAAUACCGCAUACGUCCUGAGGGAGAAAGAGGGGGAUCUUCGGACCUCACGCUAUCAGAUGAGCCUAGGUCGGAUUAGCUAGUUGGUGGGGUAAAGGCCUACCAAGGCGACGAUCCGUAACUGGUCUGAGAGGAUGAUCAGUCACACUGGAACUGAGACACGGUCCAGACUCCUACGGGAGGCAGCAGUGGGGAAUAUUGGACAAUGGGCGAAAGCCUGAUCCAGCCAUGCCGCGUGUGUGAAGAAGGUCUUCGGAUUGUAAAGCACUUUAAGUUGGGAGGAAGGGCAGUAAGUUAAUACCUUGCUGUUUUGACGUUACCAACAGAAUAAGCACCGGCUAACUUCGUG
rnacentral:rRNA from 1 species